rnacentral:misc_RNA from 1 species
UCUCCGUUGGUGAACCAGCGGAGGGAUCAUUACAGAGUUGCAAAACUCCCAAACCAUUGUGAACGUUACCUAUCCCGUUGCUUCGGCGGGCGGCCCGGGCCCCGCGCCCGGCGCCCCCCGGCCCCCCGUGGGCGCCCGCCGGAGGUAAACCAAACCCUUGAACUUCAUGGACUCUCUGAGUCUUCUGUACUGAAUAAGUCAAAACUUUCAACAACGGAUCUCUUGGUUCUG